rnacentral:rRNA from 1 species
GACGAACGCUGGCGGCGUGCUUAACACAUGCAAGUCGAACGGUAAGGCCCUUCGGGGUACACGAGCGGCGAACGGGUGAGUAACACGUGGGUGGUCUGCCCUGCACUUCGGGAUAAGCCUGGGAAACUGGGUCUAAUACCGGAUAGGACCACUGCCUGCAUGGGUGGUGGUGGAAAGCUUUUGCGGUGUGGGAUGGGCCCGCGGCCUAUCAGCUUGUUGGUGGGGUGAUGGCCUACCAAGGCGACGACGGGUAGCCGGCCUGAGAGGGUGACCGGCCACAGUGGGACUGAGAUACGGCCCAGACUCCUACGGGAGGCAGCAGUGGGGAAUAUUGCACAAUGGGCGCAAGCCUGAUGCAGCGACGCCGCGUGAGGGAUGACGGCCUUCGGGUUGUAAACCUCUUUCAGCACCGACGAAGCGCAAGUGACGGUAGGUGCAGAAGAAGGACCGGCCAACUACGUGCCAGCCGCCGCGGUAA